UGAUGAUUUACCGCUGCUUACAAUACAAAUAUUGUGUUUCACAACGGGACUCUCAUUCAGUGAAGUUCAUCAACCUUUCAGCGCUCAGAAGCCGGGAAGCCACGCAGAGAGAGAACAAGAACCACAAUUCAGUUCAGGUUUACUUCAUUUUGAACAUCAUAGAAGCUUCUUACUCGAGUUCCUCUGCGUUUGAUCCGUAUCGAGGCCGACAUGCAGAAGCCGGACGGCAUUGACCUCUAAACGAUGUCCUGCCAUUUAGCGUCUGCAGCACGCAGCAGCGGCCCUGACCCUACAUGGUGUCGGUCAGCAGUUAUUACAGAUUUAAAAGGUUGACACAGAUGUUAACAUUGGCUGGUUUUUGGGAGCAGAAAAAGUAGCAAAAAAAAAAAAAAAA